rnacentral:rRNA from 1 species
AUUGAACGCUGGCGGCAGGCCUAACACAUGCAAGUCGAACGAGUGGCGGACGGGUGAGUAAUGUCUGGGAAACUGCCCGAUGGAGGGGGAUAACUACUGGAAACGGUAGCUAAUACCGCAUACGAUCGGCGGUGACCAGAUGGGAUUAGCUGGUUGGUGGGGUAACGGCUCACCAAGGCGACGAUCCCUAGCUGGUCUGAGAGGAUGACCGGCCACACUGGAACGGAGACACGGUCCAGACUCCUACGGGAGGCAGCAGUGGGGAAUAUUGCACAAUGGGCGCAAGCCUGAUGCAGCCAUGCCGCGUGUAUGAAGAAGGUCUUCGGGUUGUAAAGGACUUUUGUCGGGGAGGCGUUACCCGAAGAGGAAGCACCGGCUAACUCCGUGCCAGCAGCCGCGGUAAUAC